UACGAAGGGUGCAAGCGUUGUUCGGAAUCACUGGGCGUAAAGAAUGCGUAGGCGGCUUAACAAGUCGGGAGUGAAAGCCCAGGGCUCAACCCUGGAACUGCUCUCGAAACUGUUUUGCUAGAGUCCCGGAGGGGUUAGCGGAAUUCCGAGUGUAGAGGUGAAAUUCGCAGAUAUUCGGAGGAACACCAGUGGCGAAGGCGGCUAACUGGACGGGAACUGACGCUGAGGCAUGAAAGUGUGGGGAUCAAACAGG
rnacentral:rRNA from 1 species